GAUGAACGCUGGCGGCGUGCCUAAUACAUGCAAGUCGAGCGAACAGACGAGGAGCUUGCUCCUCUGACGUUAGCGGCGGACGGGUGAGUAACACGUGGAUAACCUACCUAUAAGACUGGGAUAACUUCGGGAAACCGGAGCUAAUACCGGAUAAUAUAUUGAACCGCAUGGUUCAAUAGUGAAAGACGGUUUUGCUGUCACUUAUAGAUGGAUCCGCGCCGCAUUAGCUAGUUGGUAAGGUAACGGCUUACCAAGGCAGCGAUGCGUAGCCGACCUGAGAGGGUGAUCGGCCACACUGGAACUGAGACACGGUCCAGACUCCUACGGGAGGCAGCAGUAGGGAAUCUUCCGCAAUGGGCGAAAGCCUGACGGAGCAACGCCGCGGGAGUGAUGAAGGUCUUCGGAUCGUAAAACUCUGUUAUUAGGGAAGAACAAAUGUGUAAGUAACUAUGCACGUCUGGACGGUACCUAAUCAGAAAGCCACGGCUAACUACGU
rnacentral:rRNA from 1 species